rnacentral:misc_RNA from 1 species
CAGAGUUGAGGUUUUGAGGCCUGACAGGACUACAGAACUGGCAAAGAUUUAUCGGUCGCUUAAUUCGAGUGAAGUGAUGAUUGGUGUUCAUGGUGCUGCCAUGACUCAUUUUCUGUUUAUGAAGCCUGGUUCAGUGUUCAUACAAGUGAUUCCUCUUGGAACAGAAUGGGCAGCGGAGACAUAUUAUGGAGAGCCUGCUAGGAAACUUGGUUUGAAGUAUAUUGGGUACCAAAUUAUGCCCAGAGAAAGCUCAUUGUUUGAUAAAUAUGAUAAAAAUGAUCCUGUUCUACGAGACCCAAGAAGCAUAGCACAAAAGGGUUGGCAGUACACCAAGAAAAUCUAUCUUGACAGCCAAAAUGUGAUGACAACAUCUCCAAGAUCAAGAAA